GUCUGACUACACGACAGUCCAUAUGAAGUCAAACUCUUUGACAGCACCAAGGACAGGAUGAAAGAAGAGAUAAAAUACAGAUAUGGCAAGAGGAACAAAGGAAAAACAGUUGUUAGUGGAGAGACGGAAUGAAAAUCAGCCCACAGGGAAGGAGGACCACCUUCUAUCCUCAAAAGAGCACCUAGAGCAUAAAGAAUUUCUGCAAUGAGGACUUCUACGCACAUCAUUAGAUAGCUGAGAAUUAAACACCAUUGUAACUCCUCCUUGGCUGCUCUGCAGAUGUACCACACUCCUGUGCUGACCACCUCCACAUCAUGCUCCUUCCUCAUGAUUCUGGUCCCAGUGCAAAAAAAGGUCACUCUAAAAGCACUUCAGUAAAUGCUUAGGGCUCAUUGAACCUCUGCUUAGUAUUUCUGUUGAGUCAUGAUUAUAUCGUACAUUGGAAAUAAGAAUUCAUUCUAUCUUAUUUUUUCUUUUUCUUUUUUUCCAGUGUUAAACCCUAGGAUUGUUUUAAUAAUACCUGAGAGAAGCACCGUUAAUCAGGAACGUACUUAUGCAAUUGCUUCACUAACUCCUAAAUCAGGGGCUCCUCUUCAGUCAAUAAUAACAAGUAUUUUUGUGUAUGCCUAAUUUUCAGCACAGAACUUUAACAUAACUAAUCACAUAAUUACAGUUAUGCUCUAGCUAAAGUACUUUGCUUGAUCA